CAGAACACAGGAUGGAGCACCUGCUCUUGUAUCUCUCCAUCAUCACAAAUGACUCAUUAUUUUGCAAACCGAGUGUGAAACACCCCUCACAUUGGCAAUGAAAGCAGUCGGAGUGCUUUGCAUAUGUCACCGCUGCCCUCAGUAUGUGAAGGGGAUAAAUACCUCUCAUAUUCAGACAACUUCAUACAGUCUCUGACCAACGUGUCUCUGCGGUCUUUACAAGGCUUCCAGACUUCCAGAGACCAUGUACUGCUUAGUGCUCGCUCUCUCUGUGCUGUUCAUGGCUCAGGGAGUCACCAGUCGAGUUACAGCUAUAGGUGGAGCUGGAGUGGUGAUACGAAGUUCGUCCCGGCAUUGUGAAUGGCGUGGAGGAGUUUGCGCGGAUUCGUGUCUGACAACACAGAGACGUAUUGGAUUUUGCUCUGAUGUUGGGGGCAUUUGCUGCAGAUAAAGAAGGCAAAGCUGAGGCAGCGGAAUGGAGCGCUGUCUGUCACCAGCGCAGGAGAAAGGAUGGGAUUGUCAAUGUCUCAGCCACCGGCCUCCUGUAGCUUGUAACCCACUCCCUGAACAACAGGGCGGAGGGCAAUAAAUAAAUAUCAUUCAUCUCA